rnacentral:rRNA from 1 species
UGGGGAAUAUUGCACAAUGGGCGCAAGCCUGAUGCAGCCAUGCCGCGUGUGUGAAGAAGGCCUUCGGGUUGUAAAGCACUUUCAGCGGGGAGGAAGGCGUUAAGGUUAAUAACCUUGGCGAUUGACGUCACCCGCAGAAGAAGCACCGGCUAACUCCGUGCCAGCAGCCGCGGUAAUACGGAGGGUGCAAGCGUUAAUCGGAAUUACUGGGCGUAAAGCGCACGCAGGCGGUCUGUCAAGUCGGAUGUGAAAUCCCCGGGCUCAACCUGGGAACUGCAUUCGAAACUGGCAGGCUAGAGUCUUGUAGAGGGGGGUAGAAUUCCAGGUGUAGCGGUGAAAUGCGUAGAGAUCUGGAGGAAUACCGGUGGCGAAGGCGGCCCCCUGGACAAAGACUGACGCUCAGGUGCGAAAGCGUGGGGAGCAAACAGG